rnacentral:rRNA from 1 species
CAGUCGCCGCGGUAAUACGGAGGGUGCAAGCGUUAAUCGGAAUUACUGGGCGUAAAGCGUGCGUAGGCGGGUCUUUAAGUCAGGGGUGAAAUCCUGGAGCUCAACUCCAGAACUGCCUUUGAUACUGAAGAUCUUGAGUUCGGGAGAGGUGAGUGGAACUGCGAGUGUAGAGGUGAAAUUCGUAGAUAUUCGCAAGAACACCAGUGGCGAAGGCGGCUCACUGGCCCGAUACUGACGCUGAGGCACGAAAGCGUGGGGAGCAAACAGGAUUAGAUACCCCUGUAGUCCCUGUCUCUUAUAC